GGUCUUGUAGUGUAGAGGUAACAUGUCUGACUACGGAGCACAAAGUCGAUGGUUCGGGCCCUACCCAUGGCUG